GCUAUUUUGGCAGAUUAGUGCAAUAAAUUUAGAAUUUAUUUAUGUAAUUUUAUAUUACAAAUAGUA
rnacentral:tRNA from 1 species